rnacentral:misc_RNA from 1 species
GGCGUCUAAAGACUUUCAUUGAAAAAAUUGAGUUCGUGAUUUCCAAUACAAAGGUUUGGAAAGAAAAGAGGGAAACCAGAAACAAAAUCUGAUGAAGAGGAACUCCCAUUUACUUGGUGCAUACUUAAAGAAAGCGAUCAAGAGAUAGGUACACUAAAAGAAGGCAAUCAAUGAAGUUCCAAACUCUACUUAGGAAGAUAAUUUUCUCCAUGUCUUCUCACCCCGGAAAAUUUUUGCAGUCAUAGUUGACAUCUUAAAAGAUUGUACUCGCAAUUUCAAUAGCACAUGAACAUAAAAGCCAAACAACUGACAUAUAGAGACGGAUGUAAACUCUAAAUCUCAUCACAGCGAUGGAUUAGUAUUGCAUGCCAUUUCCUAACACCUACUAAAAUAUUGUACAAAACUAAUAGCAGGCAGAUAUCUCCAUGCUAGUUGCGCAUUCUUGUUCAAUCUAAGGAAAAAUCUCAUCCAUAUGUCCUCCUGCAUAUAAAGAAAAGCAUGGAUAUCGUCCUAUUUUGGCAGACUUUAUCAUGCUUCUAUAUCAAGCAAUGUUCAGAAGUGCAAGGAAUAUCACAAGAAGGAGACGGUAAGCCCAUACAAAAACUUUAUCCUGUGAUGAUGAGGAGUGAGAAGUUGAAGCCAUUGCCGUCGUGUUACUUGUUGCAGUUUUGUUGUUGGUCCCAGUGGUCAUAUACAAGCAAUUAUCAUAGCCUGCACAAACAAUACAAAUUAGUUUGUCUACUGAGUGAGUACUUGGAUGCCCAUCAACUUACUCGGAUCGAUAGUGAAGUUAAUAAACAACACAAAACAUCAUCUUACUGAGUCAUUACUAAAGCAAAACCUACCAAAAUAAAAGAAAGUGGCAAAAAGCAACAGAUGGAUGACAAUUUGCACUUAUGAAUUAUGUUGUGUUUGUCUUAGUCCCAAAAUUCUUUUUAAAGUAUUUUAUCUGUUUGAGGUGACAGUCAUGAACAAAUCACACAUAUGAAGAGAAAACCCAAACUAGGAUAUAGGAUUCUGACCAAACAGAAAAAAAAAAUUGCACAAUUGUACACAUACUUGGAUCCUUGUCAACUUUAAUUCCCACCCCACCAAAACUGCAAGCAACAUCACUAGCCCCGUUUUGGUGGUAGUAACUAUUGAAUGCAUAGGAUGCAUGUGAAAGUAGAGUAUCUGGCUCAAAACAAGGCUGGCUAGGCUGAAUGGCAGAACAAUCCACAUUUCCAGGACCACAUGCCCAAUCUAAGGCACUCUGCAAGUCAAGUUGAGAAGCAUUACUUGAAGCAAUGCACCAUGUUGUUCCAUUGAAACCAGUAAAAGUGGAAUUUUUGGGAACAUCAACAACGCCUCUUCCUUUAAAAUCCAAAUUGUAAACACUUGUCUGGUCUGGAUAAAAUAAACCCCAGUUCCGCUCAGAUUCCAAACCUGGCUUCCUGUUCUCAUUGAACAAUGAGAAGAUAUAAACAUCCAACUCUUCUCCGGGCUUUGCAGGAGUACCAGAGUUAUUGAUGACAUGACGAAUCGAAUUGGUGUUAUAGGUCUGGGCAUUAUCAGGAGUAGCAGCUUUCUCCUUUGGUGACCCUUUGGAUGGCCAACCUGUCUCAGUGACCAUAACAUUAAUUGUUCUGAAAUUCAGAGCCAUCAGGGCGAAAUAGAGGGCAUCAAUCUGAGCAUCAAACAUGUUUGUGUACAGCAAACCAGUGUUUGGAUCUAUCACUUCUGAGGAUGACUCAAAUAGAGCAUAAUCCAAAGAUACAUUGUUUGGAGAAUCUCUAUAAGCAUAGUAAGGAUAAAUAUUAAUCAUAAAAGGAGACUGAUUUUCAGCAAGGAAUUCCAACAUGGGCUUCAGAAAAAAGGCAUGGCUGCUAUUAAAAGCCCCAGCAGACGGUGGGUAUGAACGAGACAAAACUCCAAGUGAAUGGGUGCUUGAAACUUUAAUCCUUCUAUGCAAACCAACCUUCUUCAAGGCUGUUAGGACAUUAUGCAUGGCGGGUACAACUUGGGCAGAGGCAUUAUUGGGGCUCUCUGUGACUUCAGCUCCAACAGUUAUGUAUGUGAUCUUUGUGGCAGGAUAGUAAGGAAGAAUGCUGUUCUUCAACCAUGAAUCAGCAUUGGACUGAAAUUGGGACAAUGCCAAUAAGUCUGAAUUUGGAAUUCCAACCAUGAGUUCUACUCCAGUGUUUGCAAAGGCCUUUAGAACCUGAAUAUUUGAAUCAUAAAUCCUCAAAUAUUUGAUAUUAUGUUGUUGAACAAGCUCUGCUACUUUAUCAGGUGUAGGAAGGUCAUCAGCAUUUCUUCCAUAGCAAACUCCUACUAUGCUUCCUCUGCAAAAUACCAAAAGUGUAAACAACAUUGACACAGCAAAGAUAAGCUUGAAUACUCUCGCCAUUGUUGUCCAAAACGGAGCUUCCAAUCCAACGACAGUGCAAAAAGUUCCGUUUCUACUUUACUCUUUUACCUGCGAGUAUAACGUUAUUGGAAUCUAGAGUGUAACGUAUCUCCUCUCUCGCCAAAAGCUUCUCUCGGAAUUCGAGAGAGACAAAGAGAGGUCUUAGCUUAUUGGUCUGGGCUUUAGUGUACGCUCACUGUAAUGUGUCAGAGAGAGACUGUGAUCGGACCGGACUCGAGACAUAUUAUUUUUAUGAAACAGAGGUGUCUUGAUU